AUGGCGCAGGGCACCUUUGCUAGUCCUUACGCUUAAACUGCUCAACCGCGGAGGUGAGAAAAAACGGCUUUGGCCGAGGGGGUGCGGCGGCCUCCCGUCUCCCUUACGGCUGGAAAAGUUGAUGCUGGCGUACUGGCCCUGCAGAUUCUAUGCUGACUCCAUUUGACCGAGAGGGCUAGUCGGCCUCCUUCUCCCUUACGGCUGGAAAAGAUUUAUUGCUAAAAAGAAAAAGGAGAGUCGAAAUACGAGUUGUCACCGACCAGAAACGUAAAUAUAAAAUAUAAAAAUUACAAUUGCAGCCAAAACGAGUGCCCCAGUAUUAAGUAAGCUAUUAAGACUCGACUGCAUGUUCAUGUUUUACUCCUGCUGCUCUCGCUAGCAAAGUUGACCGAGACAACAAAGUAAAGCUAGUUUUCGGAUAUGAGUUUUCCAUCCAGAUGGAGGAUCACUAACAGGAGCGAGGGAAGACUCCGGAAUCCACUCUGGCUGGAAUCCGGUGGCUAUACAGUGUUUACAGGUACAGUACAUUAUUUUGAGGGCAGGCGGUCAACACUGGGGGAAGAAAAGAAGCAGAAGUCCUUCCAAGAAGGAGCUGCAGUGAGGACACAGCCUGGUCACUGAGGAUGAGAACAUCAAAAUGACCAAAGUAGCUGAGCAGAUUUCAUCUCAAGACACAUAUAUAUAGCUGUCCACAGGUGCUGCCACCUGGUACCUGUAACAGUUUUCUGGGGGCUCGUCCGGGAUCAGUCCUGCCUUUGUGGCUGGGAGCUGAUCCAGUGAUACCGGUACUUUGGGCCAAGAGUGGCAAGAAAACACCAACAACUCCAGUCUGCUGGUUGUUAUCUACACCUCCUGCUGCUGCCUGACAGAGAAUAGAUGCUACUGAUUGUGCAGGAAAUGCAUUGGCCAUGUGUCACAACUAGUGUAAUGGACAAGAAGUAAGGAAAAGGACAAAUAAGGACUGCUUGGUGCUGCUUGGUGCUCGGACCAUCGCCCAUCAAGGCAAAAACUGUACGAAAGCUGACAUUGUGUGACCCACUGCAAGGGAUAGGGAAGCAACCAUGGCGGAAGGUGAGAGGAGGAGCUUGGUGUGGGCCAUCAAGAAAGACCUUCUCACCCUCUCUGCUGAUGAACUGUUCCAGAUCGCCAAAUCUCUGGGUCCAGUGCCAGGAGUGGAUCAGUCUUGCCUUAAGUCAGGGGAUGAAGACAGCUGCUUCGAGUACAUCAGUGGUUUCAUGUGCAGUAAGGCUUUAUUAGAGUCAGAAGAUCAGGGCAUGUCACACUUAUUGUCACUUAAAGAUGUUGUUGAUGCUGUUACCCAGGGUCAUGUUUCUGAUUUGCAGAUACAGGCUGCCACUGGUAAUGAUUCAUGUGAUCUAUGUCCAAAUGCUCAGCCUCAUGAUGUCAGUGUUGAAGUGAGUCCAACUAAUGCCAUGUUUUUAGAAGAUGGUCAUAAUAGUGGUACAGAAGUAACUGACAGUGUGACCCAGAAUACCAGCUCUACUGCUGUUUCCCAACAUGAUGUAGAACUACAAAAAAUACUCUUCAGUUACGAAGAGCUCUCUAAGAAAAUUAAGCAUGCCCACAUCAGGUUCUCAACUCACUUCUCAGACACCAUCACAGGCUCAUUGUAGAAGCACACCACACAAUGACCGCUUAGUUGAAACUCACGCACCCAUGAGACAUGACAAGGUGGUGUCCCUAAGAGAGUUGUCUUACCUCCAUCGCAGGGAGUUUAAGAUUCACGGGGGCCAGAUUGGAGACCAGGGAUCAGACAUCAGUUAUAACAGCAUCUGCCGCCAGAUUGAAGAGGGUCUCAAAGAACAGUUUAAUGAUGCCGAAAUUGUGAGGGCUGUCAUGAGAGUUAUCAAACCUGGUAAUUUCAAAGACAUGCUAAUGAACAAGGAUGAACUGACAGUAGAGGAGCUUAAAGACUUCCUCCAUUCUCACCUUGGUGAGCAAAACAACACAGAACUUUUCCAGGAACUCAUGUGCACCAAACAAAGUGACAGUGAGACACCACAACAGUUUCUGUAUCGAGUCAUAGGUCUCAAACAAAAGAUCUUGCUCACCUCAAAGCAUACCAACUCAGAUGUAAAGUAUUCAUCCAGCACAGUUCAGGAUGUAUUUCUUCAUACUGUGUAUCAAGGACUGGGCCACAAACAUAGUCACAUUCGUAGAGAGUUAAAGCCACUCCUUGCAGAUGCCGAUGUCACAGAUGAGGCUAUCCUUAAACAAAUGAAGAAAGUAAUGAGUGAUGAAAGUGAAAGACAGCGUCGUCUAGGAUCAGUCACCCGUCAGAGAAACACCAAUGUGCACAGCACACAAGUUGAGAUUAAUGGUACGCAGUGUCCUGUAUUGAAAGAGGAAAAUGCAGGAAAAAGACCUAAGGCGUAUAUGAUCCAGCAGCUGUCAGAGAAAGUCGAAAAACUUGCAAGCAUUGUUGAACAAAUGACACAGUCACUGCAAACAACAGCCGAACAAAGCAGCCAGUACAGGAAAAUCAAAACCGAUCACCACAGAGAAAGAAAGUAUGGCUGUGAAAAGUGCAUAGAACAAGACCGUCCCGAUUGUCCUCACUGUUUUCACUGCGGUGAGGAAGGCCACCACGCUGUAUGAAGAAAACAAUACGUCAGGGAAACGGGAGCCGGUCCCUGUCACGGGACAAACAGUGACCGUGUCCCACUCUCCGUCCCAAUCUGACAUAUGUAGUACCAGUGAGACUGUUGCUGUAAGUUUGGCAAAAUGUGACGCUGACACCAAACAUGAUGUAGUGCCAACCCAGAGACAGAAUAACCAAGAAAAUAAAUCUGCUAUACUUCUUGGGGGCUCACCCAACAGUAAAAGUGAAAAAUUAGCCAAACUAAUUGGAAGAAAAGCUCUCACCCAGUGCCAUCUAAAUGGUUUAGCAGUUAAUGCUUUGUUAGACACGGGAGCUCAAGUGAGCAUGAUUGACAGAGAGUGGAGAAAUAAAUACCUACCGGAUACACCUAUAAGGUCACUUGAUGAAAUCAUUGAUAAUGAAGAAGAGUUAAAAGUCCAUGCUGUGAAUGGUGACACUCUCCAAUUUGAUGGCUGGGUGCCAAUCACAGUUAAUUUGAGAGGGAAUGAAGACCCUAAUUUGUCAAUAACUGUGCCUUUUCUUGUAAGCAGUUUUGUUUUGGAGAGGCCACUGCUGGGCUUCAAUGUGCUGGAGGAGCUGGUGCAGGAACAACCAGGACGGUUCAUGCCGACUCUUGUCACCCUGCUUUGCAAUGCCAUGUCAGUACCAGUAGAAAAGGCAGAGCUCCUGGUAAACCUCAUCAAGGCUGAUGAAGCUCCUGCACAAUGUGGACGUCUGCGGACUGGCAGAUCUACACACAGCAGAACUUCAGAUGGUCUUCAUACACCAGGACUCCUGUGCUGAGCUGUGGAUUCUGCCACUUUGUUGUCAUGUGAUGAGGGCCGAGUGCUGGCUGACACGUUCAUUGCGGCAUUGAAACCGAAGAUUCUGCAUGAAAGGAACACUGGACCCUCAGGAAUUUCUGUAUUCGUGGGAUACGGGGCACAGAUUACAGGAAAUGUGAGAUACCCACUUGUUGAGGCAUGCCAACCUCACUUCUUGAGAAACGUGUUGUUUCUCUUCACAUCGUUUUUCAGAAUGUAAAACUUCUGGAAGUAUGUUUUCUUUUCUUUCUUUUUGUUUUUUUCCCCUUGGCACUGACAAUUGAAACCGGGUGUUAAAUAGGUGUAAUAUACAAAUUUCAACUUGCAGUUUUUUCUGGCUCUGCUUCACAUGAAAUUACAUCUGAAUGAACUAAUAAGACCUGCGAUUAUCCAAAGUUUCCCAUCAAGUGGAUGAGGUGCUGUCAUGUGGUUUUCUCUCAAAACAUUUAAAGAUUAUUAAGGAUUUUUGCUCAAAUAGACUUACUGUAAUCCAAUUAUAGUUUAAACUGUGUCCAAUCUACACAUAUCUCUCUCACCCCCGCCUGUAGGAUGAAGAUAUGCUGAACACUCCUCAUUGAUAAAGAGGCGUGUUAACAGCUCCUCGAUCCCCUCAAACCUGAGUCUGUCUGUCGUUUGUUUCUUCUAUGUUAAGCAAAAGAAUGUUUGUGGGUUGUCCAAACAGGUUACACCAUCACACGCAAUCCUUUCACUUUAAUUUGUAGGUGUUUUUGAAAAGUUACAGAAAUGCGCAGUGUGCCCGCUACGUGUCCCUGAGGCACCCCACCGUUCACACCAUGGUGCUGGGUGAUUUGUUGUGAUGUUAUUUUGUGCCAGUAAAUAACUAAAUUGUAUCAGUUCUGAAUACAUCUUAUUUAUUUAAGACAAUGCAUCCUAAUGAGUGAAUAAGAAUAGUUUUUCUUUUUAGCUUUUUAUUUUUAAACUCAGCUCAGAAGAAGAUUACAACAACAGGAAUCAUGUUACAUGUAAUAGAAAGAUUUUAUUCGUCAGAUUAAAACCUCUAUAACGCUAUUUUAAAAUGA